CGGGACGCCACUGUUUAUUUCAGUGUUUAUUUCAUCUCAGUAUUAAGUUAGAAUAUUAGUGUUUGGGUUAUCGCUUGUGCUUCCCUUAUGCUAUUUGUACUUUUGUUUGUAGAUUGUCACUUUUCUUUAGCUUUUAGUACAUCUUUGUGUCUUCUGUCCAAAAUUUCGAAAAUGUUACAUAUACUUAACAUUGAUACAAAAAAAGAAAAAACAAGCUUGUUAAUAUCACUUAACAC